AUGCCUUAAAUUUGUGAGUUAGAAAAAUAAUAAUUUGGGGUGAUGCCUGAAUCCUCACUGCUUAUGUGAGAUGAAUUUUUGAGCGGGUAAAGGUUGCCCC